rnacentral:rRNA from 1 species
ACUCCUACGGGAGGCAGCAGUGGGGAAUAUUGGUCAAUGGACGAGAGUCUGAACCAGCCAUGCCGCGUGCAGGAUGACGGCCCUAUGGGUUGUAAACUGCUUUUGUACAGCAAGAAACGGCCGGACGUGUCGGGGCUGUCGGUACCGUACGAAUAAGGACCGGCUAACUCCGUGCCAGCAGCCGCGGUAAUACGGAAGGUGCAGGCGUUAUCCGGAAUUAUUGGGUUUAAAGGGUGCGUAGGCGGGAUAAUCAGUCCGAGGUGAAAUCCUGGGGCUCAACCGUAAAACUGCCAUUGAUACUGUUAUUCUUGAGUGCAGUCGAAGUGGGCAGAACGUGUGAUGUAGCGGUGAAAUGCAUAGAUAUCACACAGAACACCGAUAGCGAAGGCAGCUCACUAAACUACGACUGACGCUGAGGCACGAAAGCGUGGGGAGCGAACAGGAUUAGAUACCCUGGUAGUCCACGCUGUAAACGAUGUUCACUCGCUGUUGGCGCACACUGUCAGCGGCUAAGCGAAAGCAUUAAGUAAACCACCUGGGGAGUACGGUCGCAAGGUUGAAACUCAAAGGAAUUGACGG